UACGGGGGGAGCAAGCGUUGUUCGGAUUUACUGGGCGUAAAGGGCGCGUAGGCGGCGUGACAAGUCACUUGUGAAAUCUCCGGGCUUAACUCGGAACGGUCAAGUGAUACUGUCGUGCUAGAGUACAGGAGGGGCAACUGGAAUUCUCGGUGUAGCGGUGAAAUGCGUAGAUAUCGAGAGGAACACCUGCGGCGAAGGCGGGUUGCUGGGCUGAUACUGACGCUGAGGCGCGAAAGCCAGGGGAGCGAACGGG
rnacentral:rRNA from 1 species